UCUCCGUAGGUGAACCUGCGGAGGGAUCAUUACUGAGUGGGGGCUCCGGCCCGACCUCCAACCCCAUGUGAACCGAAACCUGUUGCUUCGGGGGCGACCCUGCCGUUCGCGGCGCGGCGCCCCCGGUGGACCAUCAACGCUGCAUCUGUGCGUCUGAGUGAUUAAUCAAUCAAUUAAAACUUUCAACAACGGAUCUCUUGGUUCUGGCAUCGAUGAAGAACGCAGC
rnacentral:misc_RNA from 1 species